rnacentral:rRNA from 1 species
GACGAACCGUGCGAACGUUGUUCGGAAUCACUGGGCUUAAAGGGCGCGUAGGCGGGCCUGCAAGUCAGGGGUGAAAGCCCCCAGCUCAACUGGGGAAGCGCCUCUGAUACUGCCGGUCUCGAGGGAGGUAGGGGCGUGCGGAACUUCCGGUGGAGCGGUGAAAUGCGUAGAUAUCGGAAGGAACGCCGGUGGCGAAAGCGGCGCGCUGGACCUCUUCUGACGCUGAGGCGCGAAAGCCAGGGGAGCGAACGGG